GGGGCACUUCCGGUUCACUUCCUAUUAAACUUGGGCACUUCCGGUUCACUUCCUGUUCAUAUUCGGUUACUUCCUGUUCAUUUUGGGGCCCUUCCUGUAUGUUUUGGGGCACUUCCGGUUCACUUUGGGGCACUUCUGGGUCAAUCCAAGAUGGCCGCCACACUGUGGAAGUGGGGGUGAAGGAGGCGAAUAUGGUAAGCAUAAGGUGAACAAAGUGAAUAAAGUUGGAAUGGGUUGAAUCGUUUGAAAAAUGUAGAAAUUAGAAGGGAAAAACCUCAUUUUUGAGAAUUUGUUAUGAAUUUCAAAAUUGAAAAUUUGGAAUUUUCGGUAAGUGGGAAGUUGUGGAACAGGUAG